rnacentral:rRNA from 1 species
UACGGAGGGUGCAAGCGUUAUCCGGAUUCACUGGGUUUAAAGGGUGCGUAGGCGGGUUGGUAAGUCCGUGGUGAAAUCUCCGAGCUUAACUCGGGAACUGCCGUGGAUACUAUCAAUCUUGAAUAUCGUGGAGGUAAGCGGAAUAUGUCAUGUAGCGGUGAAAUGCUUAGAGAUGACAUAGAACACCAAUUGCGUAGGCAGCUUACUACACGAUCAUUGACGCUGAGGCACGAAAGCGUGGGGAGCAAACAGG